GUUGAGCGCUGAAGGUUGGUACUUGUACCAACUGGAUGAGCAGCGAACGGGUGAGUAACGCGUGGGGAAUCUGCCUUUGAGCGGGGGACAACAUUUGGAAACGAAUGCUAAUACCGCAUAAAAACUUUAAACACAAGUUUUAAGUUUGAAAGAUGCAAUUGCAUCACUCAAAGAUGAUCCCGCGUUGUAUUAGCUAGUUGGUGAGGUAAAGGCUCACCAAGGCGAUGAUACAUAGCCGACCUGAGAGGGUGAUCGGCCACAUUGGGACUGAGACACGGCCCAAACUCCUACGGGAGGCAGCAGUAGGGAAUCUUCGGCAAUGGACGAAAGUCUGACCGAGCAACGCCGCGUGAGUGAAGAAGGUUUUCGGAUCGUAAAACUCUGUUGGUAGAGAAGAACGUUGGUGAGAGUGGAAAGCUCAUCAAGUGACGGUAACUACCCAGAAAGGGACGGCUAACUACGUGCCAGCAGCCGCGGUAAUACGUAGGUCCCGAGCGUUGUCCGGAUUUAUUGGGCGUAAAGCGAGCGCAGGUGGUUUAUUAAGUCUGGUGUAAAAGGCAUUGGCUCAACCAUUGUAUGCAUUGGAAACUGGUAGACUUGAGUGCAGGAGAGGAGAGUGGAAUUCCAUGUGUAGCGGUGAAAUGCGUAGAUAUAUGGAGGAACACCGGUGGGCGAAAGCGGCUCUCUGGCCUGUAACUGACACUGAGGCUCGAAAGCGUGGGGAGCAAACAGGAUUAGAUACCCUGGUAGUCCACGCCGUA
rnacentral:rRNA from 1 species